AAAAUAGGUCAAGCUACUAAGAGCGCACAGAGGAUGACUUGGCAUCAGGAGCUGAUGAAGGACGUGAUAAGCUGCGAUAAGCUACGGGUAGACGCAAAUAGUCAUGGAUCCGUAGAUUUCCGAAUGGGGGAACCCACAUAGUGAGAGACUAUGUAUCUAGUAAUGAAUUAAUAGUUAUUAGAAGGUAGACGCAGGGAACUGAAACAUCUAAGUACCUGUAGGAAGAGAAAGAAAUAUCGAUUCCCUAAGUAGUGGCGAGCGAAAGGGGAAGAGCCCAAACCCAAGGAAACUUGGGGGUUGAGGGGUCUAUAAUUGAGAAAGUAGGUUAGAUGAAUAUAGAUGGAAAUCUAAGCCGAAGAGUGUAAUAGACCACGUAAUUAAAACUAGAAAUUAGAGAGAGAC
rnacentral:rRNA from 1 species